rnacentral:rRNA from 1 species
UUGGAGUCUGCAACUCGACUCCAUGAAGCUGGAUUCGCUAGUAAUCGCGCAUCAGCCAUGGUGCGGUGAAUACGUUCCCGGGCCUUGUACACACCGCCCGUCAAGCCAUGGGAGUCGGGAGUGCCUGAAGUUCGUGACCGUCACAGGAGCGACCUAAGGCAAGACCGAUGACUGGGGCUAAGUCGUAACAAGGUACC